rnacentral:tRNA from 1 species
UCCCCGGUCGUCUAGUGGCAGGAUGCACGGCUUUGGACUGUGCGGGUGGAGUUCGAAUCUCUAACGGGGAG